GUCCAUGUGGCAUAGUGGUUUGAGCAUUGGACUAGGACUCUGGAGACCAGGUUUCAAAUCCCGGCCUGGCCA